GCUUGGACCGCUAUUCUACGUUCGGCUAGUGGAACAAAUAUUCUGUCGUAGCCAAUUAAAGUAAAGUAAAGUACCGGUUAUUAUCGGUAGUUGUGGGCAGCACUUUUUCUUAACAUCUGACAAUUUCUUAUUGAAAUCAAGAAAUUGUGUCAAAUUUAAAUAAAUCGUUUCACAAAUGAAUUGCUUACCACAAUUAAUAUGCUGAACACAAUAAAAAUGUAGAUCACAAUAAUAUCGCAGUCAAAAACAUACCUUUUUAUAAAAGCAAAUCACUUGAAUCGUUGUGUAAACGGGUUUGGGAGAUUAUCUCAAAUCAAGUGGAUUUGGGCUCUAGUGUAAACAUGAAUUAAGACACAAAUUUUUUCCUACCAUAUUAGUCAACAAAACUGGUUUUGCUAUUCCAUUUUUCUAGAACUUAUAUAAAACUGUCAAAUAGUCCUAUUUUAAGGCUUUAUUAAGUUUUGUGAAUAAGGACGUAAAAAACAAUGAUCGUUUUUUAAUUCAUGGCUAGUUGUGGUAUAUAAAAAACUCGCACACAUUCUAUAUAAAUAUGGACAUAGUACUUUAAAUACCACAGAAAUCUGUAAUGAGUUUUUAAUAGCUAUUUGCAGUACCAUAAUAAUCCUUAAUUACAAUUUAGGCCUAAAGUGUUUAUGAUGCUUUCACCCAUUUUGUCAAAUAUUCUGUUGACGCCAUCAAAUAACAGGCAUGCCGUGAUGCUGCGAUAACUGAUUAUGACGUGGUGGUUGUGACGGAAUGGUAGCACAGCAGUGGAAUAUUUUUUCAGGCCGUCUAUUAUCUUUUUGACAACACUGGUUUAAACAGCUCA
rnacentral:sRNA from 1 species